rnacentral:rRNA from 1 species
CCUACGGGAGGCAGCAGUGGGGAAUUUUGGACAAUGGGCGAAAGCCUGAUCCAGCAAUGCCGCGUGUGUGAAGAAGGCCUUCGGGUUGUAAAGCACUUUUGUCCGGAAAGAAAUCCUUGGCUCUAAUACAGUCGGGGGAGACGGAC